rnacentral:piRNA from 1 species
UGGAACGGAGCCAGAUCACCAGG